rnacentral:rRNA from 1 species
CGUAGGGUGCGAGCGUUAAUCGGAAUUACUGGGCGUAAAGCGUGCGCAGGCGGUUUUGUAAGACAGGCGUGAAAUCCCCGGGCUCAACCUGGGAACUGCGCUUGUGACUGCAAGGCUAGAGUACGGCAGAGGGGGGUGAAUUCCACGUGUAGCAGUGAAAUGCGUAGAGAUGUGGAGGAACACCAAUGGCGAAGGCAGCCCCCUGGGUCGAUACUGACGCUCAUGCACGAAAGCGUGGGUAGCAAACAGGAUUAGAUACCCUGGUAGUCCACGCCCUAAACGAUGUCAACUAGGUGUUGGGUGGGUAAAACCAUUUAGUACCGGAGCUAACGCGUGAAGUUGACCGCCUGGGGAGUACGGCCGCAAGGUUA